rnacentral:rRNA from 1 species
UCGCCUGUUUAACAAAAACAUCGCCUCUUGAAUUUUAUAAGAGGUCCAGCCUGCCCAGUGACUCUGUUCAACGGCCGCGGUAUCCUAACCGUGCGAAGGUAGCGUAAUCACUUGUUCUUUAAAUGUGGACUAGUAUGAAUGGCACCACGAAGGUUAUACUGUCUCCUUUUUCUAAUCAGUGAAACUAAUCUCCCCGUGAAGAAGCGGGGAUAAAACUAUAAGACGAGAAGACCCUAUGGAGCUUUAAACAACAUAGCACUUGCCAUACACUAUUAGAAUUCCAGAAUCCUCAAUUUCCCUGAGCAAUAUGACUAUAAGUUUUUGGUUGGGGUGACCGCGGAGCAUAACACAACCUCCAUGUUGAAAGAAUCACUUUCUAAGCUAAGACCUACAACUCUAAGCAUCAACAUAUUGACAUCCAUUGACCCAAUACACUUGAACAACGAACCAAGUUACCCUAGGGAUAACAGCGCAAUCCACUUCAAGAGCUCCUAUCGACAAGUGGGUUUACGACCUCGAUGUUGGAUCAGGGUUUCCCAGUGGUGCAGCCGCUACUAAAGGUUCGUUUGUUCAACGAUUAAAACCCUACAUGAUCUGAGUUCAGACCGGA